CAGCAGCCGCGGUAAUACGGAGGGUGCAAGCGUUAAUCGGAAUUACUGGGCGUAAAGCGCACGCAGGCGGUCUGACAAGUCAGAUGUGAAAUCCCCGGGCUUAACCUGGGAACUGCAUUUGAAACUGUCAGGCUGGAGUCUUGUAGAGGGGGGUAGAAUUCCAGGUGUAGCGGUGAAAUGCGUAGAGAUCUGGAGGAAUACCGGUGGCGAAGGCGGCCCCCUGGACAAAGACUGACGCUCAGGUGCGAAAGCGUGGGGAGCAAACAGGAUUAGAUACCCCUGUAGUCCCUGUCUCUUAUAU
rnacentral:rRNA from 1 species